UGUGGGAGCGGGCUUGCCCGCGAUAAAUGCGCUGCGGUCUGUCUGACAUACCGCGGUGAUUCAAUCGCGAGCAAGCCCGCUCCCACA
rnacentral:misc_RNA from 1 species